UUGGACUGCGUCCGAUCAGGCUGUUGGUGAGGUAAUGGCCCACCAAACCUGUAACCGGUACGGGCUCUGAGAGGAGGAGCCCGGAGAUGGGUACUGAGAAAAGGACCCAGGCCCUAUGGGGCGCAGCAGGCGCGAAACCUCUGCAAUAGGCGAAAGCCUGACAGGGUUACUCUGAGUGACUUUCGCUAAGAAAGUCUUUUGACACCUCUAAAAAUGGUGUAGAAUAAGGGGUGGGCAAGUCUGGUGUCAGCCGCCGCGGUAAUACCAGCACCCCGAGUGGUCGGGACGAUUAUUGGGCCUAAAGCAUCCGUAGCCGGUUUUACAAGUCCUCCGUUAAAUCCAGCUGCUUAACAGAUGGGCUGCGGAGGAUACUAUAAGACUAGGAGGCAGGAGAGGCAAGCGGUACUCAGUGGGUAGGGGUAAAAUCCGUUGAUCCAUUGAAGACCACCAGUGGCGAAGGCGGCUUGCCAGAAUGCGCUCGACGGUGAGGGAUGAAAGCUGGGGGAGCAAACCGGAUUAGAUACCCGGGUAGUCCCAGCUGUAAACGAUGCAGACUCGGUGAUGGACUAGCUUUAUGCUAGUCCAGUGCCGCAGGGAAGCCGUUAAGUCUGCCGCCUGGGUAGUACGGUCGCAAGAC
rnacentral:rRNA from 1 species